rnacentral:lncRNA from 1 species
GGACUGAGCGCUAUGGAAAGGUGGUGGGGACGCAGGUGAGGGCGACGCGGGGAAGCGCAUGGUCCAGCGCCGCUUGUCGGGGCUUGUGGUUGCGAACAUAGAGUGGAAAGAGGAUUCUGCGCUCUGCUCCCGCCCCGGGAGAUUAAGAGUCAACCCUACCAUGCAGCCACGUUUUGCCAGUUCCAGAGGCAGCCGGGAGCCCAGGAAUGCACCCGAAAGGCGGGGAGUCAA